GGGAACUCUGAGACAGGUGCUGCAUGGCUGUCGUCAGCUCGUGUUGUGAAAUGUUGGGUUAAGUCCCGCAACGAGCGCAACCCUUAUCCUUUGUUGCCAGCGGUUAGGCCGGGAACUCAAAGGAGACUGCCAGUGAUAAACUGGAGGAAGGUGGGGAUGACGUCAAGUCAUCAUGGCCCUUACGAGUAGGGCUACACACGUGCUACAAUGGCGCAUACAAAGAGAAGCGACCUCGCGAGAGCAAGCGGACCUCAUAAAGUGCGUCGUAGUCCGGAUUGGAGUCUGCAACUCGACUCCAUGAAGUCGGAAUCGCUAGUAAUCGUGGAUCAGAAUGCCACGGUGAAUACGUUCCCGGGCCUUGUACACACCGCCCGUCACACCAUGGGAGUGGGUUGCAAAAGAAGUAGGUAGCUUAACCUUCGGGAGGGCGCUUACCACUUUGUGAUUCAUGACUGGGGUGAAGUCGUAACAAGGUAGGCGUAGUGCU
rnacentral:rRNA from 1 species